rnacentral:rRNA from 1 species
AACGAACGCUGGCGGCAUGCCUAACACAUGCAAGUCGAACGGGAUCCUAGCUUGCUAGGUGAGAGUGGCGGACGGGUGAGUAACACGUGGGAAUCUGCCUUUUGGUUCGGGAUAACCGCGGGAAACUGCGGCUAAUACCGAAUGCCCUCGAGAGAGGAAAGAUUUAUCGCCAGAAGAGGAGCCCGCGUCCGAUUAGGGUAGUUGGUGGGGUAAAGGCCUACCAAGCCGACGAUCGGUAGCUGGUCUGAGAGGAUGAUCAGCCACACUGGGACUGGAGAUACGGCCCAGACUCCUACGGGA